GGGUUGUGAGGUUAAGCGACUAAGCGUACACGGUGGAUGCCCUGGCAGUCAGAGGCGAUGAAGGACGUGCUAAUCUGCGAUAAGCGUCGGUAAGGUGAUAUGAACCGUUAUAACCGGCGAUUUCCGAAUGGGGAAACCCAGUGUGUUUCGACACACUAUCAUUACGUGAAUACAUAGCGUAAUGAAGCGAACCGGGGGAACUGAAACAUCUAAGUACCCCGAGGAAAAGAAAUCAACCGAGAUUCCCCCAGUAGCGGCGAGCGAACGGGGAGCAGCCCAGAGUCUGAAUCAGCUUGUGUGUUAGUGGAACGGUCUGGAAAGUCCGACGGUACAGGGUGAUAGUCCCGUACACCAAAAUGCACAGGUUGUGAACUCGAAGAGUAGGGCGGGACACGUGGUAUCCUGUCUGAAUAUGGGGGGACCAUCCUCCAAGGCUAAAUACUCCUGACUGACCGAUAGUGAACCAGUACCGUGAGGGAAAGGCGAAAAGAACCCCGGCGAGGGGAGUGAAAAAGAACCUGAAACCGUGUACGUACAAGCAGUGGGAGCCUCUUUAUGGGGUGACUGCGUACCUUUUGUAUAAUGGGUCAGCGACUUAUAUUCUGUAGCAAGGUUAACCGUAUAGGGGAGCCGAAGGGAAACCGAGUCUUAACUGGGCGUUAAGUUGCAGGGUAUAGACCCGAAACCCGGUGAUCUAGCCAUGGGCAGGUUGAAGGUUGGGUAACACUAACUGGAGGACCGAACCGACUAAUGUUGAAAAAUUAGCGGAUGACUUGUGGCUGGGGGUGAAAGGCCAAUCAAACCGGGAGAUAGCUGGUUCUCCCCGAAAGCUAUUUAGGUAGCGCCUCGUGAACUCAUCUUCGGGGGUAGAGCACUGUUUCGGCUAGGGGGUCAUCCCGACUUACCAACCCGAUGCAAACUGCGAAUACCGAAGAAUGUUAUCACGGGAGACACACGGCGGGUGCUAACGUCCGUCGUGAAGAGGGAAACAACCCAGACCGCCAGCUAAGGUCCCAAAGUCAUGGUUAAGUGGGAAACGAUGUGGGAAGGCACAGACAGCCAGGAUGUUGGCUUAGAAGCAGCCAUCAUUUAAAGAAAGCGUAAUAGCUCACUGGUCGAGUCGGCCUGCGCGGAAGAUGUAACGGGGCUAAACCAUGCACCGAAGCUGCGGCAGCGACACUAUGUGUUGUUGGGUAGGGGAGCGUUCUGUAAGCCGUUGAAGGUGUAUCGUGAGGUAUGCUGGAGGUAUCAGAAGUGCGAAUGCUGACAUAAGUAACGAUAAUGCGGGUGAAAAACCCGCACGCCGGAAGACCAAGGGUUCCUGUCCAACGUUAAUCGGGGCAGGGUGAGUCGACCCCUAAGGCGAGGCCGAAAGGCGUAGUCGAUGGGAAACAGGUUAAUAUUCCUGUACUUGGUGUUACUGCGAAGGGGGGACGGAGAAGGCUAUGUUAGCCGGGCGACGGUUGUCCCGGUUUAAGCAUGUAGGCGGAGGUUCCAGGUAAAUCCGGUACCUUUUAACGCUGAGGUGUGAUGACGAGGCACUACGGUGCUGAAGUAACAAAUGCCCUGCUUCCAGGAAAAGCCUCUAAGCAUCAGGUAACACGAAAUCGUACCCCAAACCGACACAGGUGGUCAGGUAGAGAAUACCAAGGCGCUUGAGAGAACUCGGGUGAAGGAACUAGGCAAAAUGGUGCCGUAACUUCGGGAGAAGGCACGCUGAUAUGUAGGUGAAGCGGUUUACCCGUGGAGCUGAAAUCAGUCGAAGAUACCAGCUGGCUGCAACUGUUUAUUAAAAACACAGCACUGUGCAAACACGAAAGUGGACGUAUACGGUGUGACGCCUGCCCGGUGCCGGAAGGUUAAUUGAUGGGGUUAUCCGUAAGGAGAAGCUCUUGAUCGAAGCCCCGGUAAACGGCGGCCGUAACUAUAACGGUCCUAAGGUAGCGAAAUUCCUUGUCGGGUAAGUUCCGACCUGCACGAAUGGCGUAAUGAUGGCCAGGCUGUCUCCACCCGAGACUCAGUGAAAUUGAACUCGCUGUGAAGAUGCAGUGUACCCGCGGCAAGACGGAAAGACCCCGUGAACCUUUACUAUAGCUUGACACUGAACACUGGUCCUUGAUGUGUAGGAUAGGUGGGAGGCUUUGAAGUGUGGACGCCAGUCUGCAUGGAGCCAUCCUUGAAAUACCACCCUUUAAUGGCUGGUGUUCUAACGUGGACCCGUUACCCGGGUUGCGGACAGUGUCUGGUGGGUAGUUUGACUGGGGCGGUCUCCUCCUAAAGAGUAACGGAGGAGCACGAAGGUUAGCUAAUCCUGGUCGGACAUCAGGAGGUUAGUGCAAAGGCAUAAGCUAGCUUGACUGCGAGAGUGACGGCUCGAGCAGGUGCGAAAGCAGGUCUUAGUGAUCCGGUGGUUCUGAAUGGAAGGGCCAUCGCUCAACGGAUAAAAGGUACUCCGGGGAUAACAGGCUGAUACCGCCCAAGAGUUCAUAUCGACGGCGGUGUUUGGCACCUCGAUGUCGGCUCAUCACAUCCUGGGGCUGAAGUAGGUCCCAAGGGUAUGGCUGUUCGCCAUUUAAAGUGGUACGCGAGCUGGGUUUAGAACGUCGUGAGACAGUUCGGUCCCUAUCUGCCGUGGGCGCUGGAGAAUUGAGGGGGGCUGCUCCUAGUACGAGAGGACCGGAGUGGACGCAUCACUGGUGUUCGGGUUGUCAUGCCAAUGGCAUUGCCCGGUAGCUAAAUGCGGAAGAGAUAAGUGCUGAAAGCAUCUAAGCACGAAACUUGCCCCGAGAUGAGUUCUCCCUGAGACUUUAAGUCUCCUGAAGGAACGUUGAAGACGACGACGUUGAUAGGUCGGGUGUGUAAGUGUAGCGAUACAUUGAGCUAACCGAUACUAAUGAACCGUGAGGCUUAACCUUACAACGCCGAAG
rnacentral:rRNA from 1 species